UAUGGUUUAAAAAUUUUAUUAUAAAUUUAUUUUGCAUAUAAAUUUUAGUAAUAAUUUUUAAUUAUUUUAAUAAUAAUUAAUUUAAUAAAUAGUAGUAAUUAAUAUUAAAAAUUUAAGAAAUUAAGAUUUAGUAAUAUUUAAAUUAAUAACAAAUUUUGUGCCAGCAGUUGCGGUUAAACAAAAGUUAAAUUAAAUUUUAUUAGUAAUUAAUAAAUAAAUUAUUAAUUUUAAAUAAAUAUUAAAUUAUUAAGUGAAAUUUUAAUUUAAUUAAAAUUAAUAUAAAAUUUAUGAUUUAAUAAAUUUUUAAAAUAAACUAGGAUUAGAUACCCUAUUAUUAAAAAUUUAAAUUUAUAAUGCUAAAAUAGUAUGUAAUUAUUUAUUGAAACUUAAAUAAUUUGGCGGUAUCUUAGUUCAUUUAGAGGAAUCUGUUUAAUAAUUGAUAGUCCACGAAUAAAUUUACUUAAUUUAAUAUUUUGUAUAUCGUUGUUAAAAAAAUAUUUUUAAAUAAUAAUAAUAUUUAAAAAUUAAAAUUAAAAAUUAAAUCAGAUCAAGAUGCAGAUUAUAAUUAAGAAUAUAAUGGAUUACAAUGAAUUUAUUUAAACUAAUAUUAAUUUGUAAUAAUUAAUUGAAGGUGGAUUUAAAUGUAAUUUUAUUUAAUUUAUUAAAAUGAUUAUAAAUUAAGAUAUGUACAUAUUGCCCGUCGCUUUCAUAAAUAAAUUGGAAUAAGUCGUAACAAAGUAGAGGUACUGGAAAGUGUUUCUAGAAAUAC
rnacentral:ncRNA from 1 species